UGCUGGGCUUCUCGGGGUUUGGUAUCUUGUGAGUAAUUUUCUAUAUAAAAUACUUAGCCUUAUUUUCAGUAAUUGUGUGUCGCGUAUCGUUACAGCGUCCGUAAAGCCAACACAGCUCAGUUAUUUCUAAUCCUAGCAGUUGCAACUUGAGGCAGCAGAGACAUGAGUGAGCCGCCUUUGCUGAUUCUGCAUUUACAUUCUUGUUUUUAAGAUAAACCACAAUGUCAGAAAUGAGAAAUACAGUCUUAGUAGAAGGUAGAGAGUAUAAAGGAAUGGAAAUGUUGUAGAUAUGUUGCAAGGUCAGAAAAUGUUUCCUUAUGUUUUAUCAUUAUUUUUAUUUUUCAUUGUGUGCCUGCAUGUAGAUUUGCGCAUGAGCACACUGCCCACAUAGGCCACAAGAAGAUGCUGGAUCCCUGGGAGCCACAGGUGGUUGUAGGCUGUCUGGCAUGACCUCUAGGAAUUGACACUGGGACCUCCAGAAGAGCAGCAUGUUCUGGAAAGUACUGGGUCAUCUUUCCAGUCCCAGAAAAAAGUGUUCUUUAAAAUUGCAAGAAAAGAAACUUUUCUUCCUUAUUGUCCAUUCUUUUGUAAGUAACUGAAAAAAAAAUAGUAUAGUAUGCAAGAGGCAGUAGCUUUGUGUGUGUGUGUUGCAUGCAUGCAUGCUGUUGCAUGUGCACUCAAGUGUGUUUGUAGGUAUGAUGCUAAUAUCAGGCACCUUCCUUCACUACCCUACUUUUUGAAUCAGAGUUGGUCACUGAUGCAGCUAGAAGAGUGGGCUAGCAAGUCCCUGAGAAGCUGCGCUCCCCAGUGCUGUGACUACCAGUGAGUAUCGAGGUUUUAUAUGGGUGUUGAGGAUCCACACUCAGGUAGUCAUGCUUUCACAAAACUUUACUCAUGGAGCCAUCUCCCCAGGUCUUGUUUGAACUGACUUUGUGGCUGAGGCUGGCUUUGAACUCCUGAUCCCUGUGCCUUUAUCUUCCAAGGGCUGUGGCAUGUACUAUCACACUCAGUUUAAAACCUAGAUUUAAAAAAAAUGCAGUUUAUGGCACUGGGGAGUCGGCUUCAAGAGCACACUGCUCUUCCAGAAAACCCUGUGUCAAUACCUAGAUUCCCAGAGUGGUCAAGAGUACUUGUUGAUCUUACAGAGGACCUGGGUUAAUGCAUAACACCUACAUGGCGACUUAUAGCCAUUUGUCAUUCUAAGUGCCAAGGGAUCUAACACCCUAUUCUGACCUCAUCAGGCACCAGGUGCAUAGUCAUUAAGGCAAAAUACUCAUACACAUAAAAUAAUUUAAAAAUUGAAUAUGGUUUCUUGGUCCUUAUUCUAUAAUCACCUAAUAGAUUAUUUACUUCUAAGUAGAAGAGACAUAUUACAACAUAUAUUUUGGGUAGUGACUGUUAUAUAAUUCUUUGGCCAGGAGACUUACUGUAAACUAGCCUCCAGUCUGUCACAUUACAAUUCCCCUAUUAAACCACUCUCUCCUUUUUAUACUGUAUUGGCUCAACACAGGUGUUUAAAAUGAACUUUUGCUGUAACAACUAGUAUUUAUAUUGGGCUAUUCAUUGACACUGAAGAAGAAGCAAUAUGUAUAUGUAUGUAUGUAUGACAUGAAACAGCUCAUUUCAGCAAAUGAAAACACACAUUCUGUUUUGCUUUGAAGACUGAUCAUGAAAAAGAAAAUGUUGCACACCAAUCUUUUACAAGUACAUGUUGAAAAUAUUUAAGCGUGCCUGGUUAAAAUAUACUAUUUAUUCUCUCUCACUCUCUCGCAGUGGGGGCGGGAGACAAUGUCUUCCAUUCUAUCCAGGUUGAUCCAGAGACAAGUUACAAGAUUAGAAUCGGUGGCUUUUGUUGUAUUUCUGUUGUGCAGUAUAGUCCAAAUGCUUUACUUCCGUCCGGUUGCAAAUAGAAAAGUUGCAGAAUCUUUAGUGAACAGACGCUUUCUGUAAUCCAAACCUGCUCUGCUUGUUUUAUUACACACCAGCCCCCGACAGGCUCUUCUGUUCAUCCUUGAAUCCAUUUUAGCUUGUGUUGCAUUUCACUGUGAGGUGCAAAUGUUACCAUCCAUCUUUCCAGAUGCUUCAGGUCUAGAGGGUUAGCUCUGAAUCUGUUAAAGAACUGAAAAUCCAGGAUAGUGAUGGAUGGGUGGGUACAGGUGCUUGCCACUGAGUCUGAGGACCUGAGUUUGAUCCUUGGGACCUACCUGGUGGGAGGAGAGAAUCAACUCCUGAAAUUGCCUCACCCACCCCUCUAAAGAAAAUUAUACACACACACACACACACACACACACACACACACACACACACACAAAUCCCUCUGAAAAAUCCCUUCUGCCAUGGCCCUGUUUCUUUAGAUUUGAUUGUGCUGGUGUGGAAGGAGAUAAACAGACUAAAUGUAUCAAAUGGAGUUAACAAUUCUCAGUAAAAGGAACAUUUAAUCUCUGUUGACAUUAAAGAUCCAGAUUAGUCAACAGAUAUCUGGAAAUCUUACAACUUUAAGUACUUACUAAGAAAACAAAACAACCCCCACACCCCUACUCCCCCAAAGCCCUCUCCCAAGCUUUGGAAAUUCCCUGAGGAGUUUGAUGCCAUUUUUUGUGACGGAGAGAGUUGCGUGAGUUUUUUAAAGCCUGACUUCACUAUUAUGCACAUCUCAAAAGGUUACAGAGAUGACAGCAACCACUAGUUGUAACUGCUUUACUGGGAUUUCUGGCAUUUGCUAAUUUUCAAAUGGGUGAGAAGGUAAAAUUAACUGGAAAUCAAAUAUUUAGAAUAUUAUCCUACAGGUAGAUCACAGGUUCUGCUUGUUGUGUAGGACCAUCUGUAGAAAGGAAAAUAGUUGGAUAUUUAGCUUUAAACAAAGAUGGCUCAGUGGAUAAAGGCACAUGCCACCAAGCCUGUUGACUGGAGUUCAACUUCUGGAGCCUGCAUGGUGGGAGGAGAGGACAGACACGACACACACAUUUUAUGCCCAAUACACAUAACAAACCAAAAAACAAUGAAAUAUACAUCUCAAUGGUUUUUACAAAUUGUUGAUCAUUUAUGAAUACAUCCUCAUAAAACAAGCGAUGACGACCCCAGAAAGAAAGUGAAUUUGUUUCCGUCUCAUUCCAUCUUCAUUUACUGUAGAAACAUACCACAAAGUGUUAAAUAUCAACACUUAGCAGAUGGAGCUUUCUAAAUAGUGGUUUUUUUUUGUUUCACUAGUGCUGGGAUUGCAGAUUUGGGAGAUUUGUCUCUACACAAUCACUGUGACUCACAGAGGGAUGACUGACUGGCUGAUGGGAAAAAGGUAUCGCCCAUGGGCUAUUUUCCCUCGUCUCUGUAUACGGUCAAAUUGUGUUAAAUACAUCUAAAGACUGUUUUAUAUGUAGAAACAUUACCUUUCGUUUCUUUAAUCUCUCUCUCUCUCUCUCUCUCUCUCUCUCUCUCUCUCUCUCUCUCUCUCUCUCUCUCUGUGUGUGUGUGUGUGUGUGUGUGUGUGUGUGUGUGUGCUCUUGGGUAUGGACAACUUAUAGGAACCAAAUCUCUCCUUCCACUAUGUUGGUCCUGGGGCUUGAGUUCAGGUCUUUGGGCUUGACAGAAAGGGCUUUACCCUUAGGCUUUCUUGCCAGAAUCCUCUUUUAAAAAUUAAAAAGCAGUUUUCUUGAUUGUCUCGUUCUUUUUUCAUUUAUUUGAUCUAUCUUUACUUCUUUUAAUAGUCUUGUAAACUGUUUCUAGAAGAUUUUCUACAAUUUAAAUCUGUCAAAAUAUCCUUUAGGUGAUGAUGAUAACAAUAAUAAAUGAAGACCAUUCUCUUGAAACCAUUUACUCUCCAGUUUGGAGCAAAAUUUUUAGUUUUUAGCCCAUAUUUGGAAUUUUUUGUGUUUGAUAUCAGUUUACCAAGACUUGUUUUUUUUCUUUUUUUAAAUUCCAUCUUGGUUUAAUCUUAAGUUUUAGUAGAGAUUUUCUUUAACAGUUUUCUGAUAAAAGCCAAAAGAAAGUGAAUGUUUUAAAUCUUUGAAUCUUUAAAAAUGUAUUUCACUUUGCAUUUGCUUUUUGUUGUCUGUAGCCCAGGCUGGCCUGGAACUCACUGUAUAAUUAGGCUAGUCUCAAACUCAAAGCAAUCCUCCCAGCUCAGUUGCUUGAGUGCCUGCCUUGCGUACUAUUUUGGCAGACUGCAGAGCUGCAAAUUAGAAUCAUUUUCACUAAGCAUACUGAAGGCAUGUAGAGGCAUGGUCUUUGUAUCCUCUAGUGGUGAAAGCUGCAUCCAGGCCACACCCAGUGUCUUCAUACGAUUGAGGAAUCUUGCUUUUAAACUUUGCAAGUGUGGGGAACUUGUUUUCAAACUAGUUUUUAGGAAGGAAAGAAAGAGGAAAUUUGGGUAGGCAUGAUGGCACACCCCUUUUACCCCUGGAUCCAGAGGCAGAGGUAAGUAUCAGAGUUUGAGACCAGUCUGAUCUAUACAGUAAGUAUAAGACCAACCAGUGGGACUUAAACAGUACAUUUUAUAUAAAAAUCUCCUGGAUGCAGAGUGAAAGACCUUGAAAUACUUAGUCCUGAAUAGGAUGUCUCAAUCAAUUCCCCUUCUUUACAACUCAGGGAACCUGUAGAAAAGGAGACAGAAAGAGUGUAAGAGCCAAAAAAUCAGAGCCCUCUAAAUGCAGCUUGAGAGAUGUGCAUAUGGUCCUAUGGAGACUCGGGCAUGCACAGGUCUGGACCUACUUGGAUCCCAGUGCUGAGAGCAGAAGUGGACACAGCCUCCAUCCCUAACUGAGAAGCUACCUCCAAUUGAUAACCACUCAUAAAUGAAAAACUAGUUUUCUCCAAUGGAGUCUCAUUGGGUAUACAAAGCACUUUUAAGGCCAGACCCCAACCCCAGACCAAGUGAACUCAGAGGUCUUUUAGGAGGACUUUUGGCUCAUGAUACUGUCUGAGUAUUUUUCUUUUCUUUUUUUCUUUCUUAUACAUGAUGGUUUCCAAUUGUGUUUUUUGGGAGGGGGGUUCUGUGGGUCCCAAUAUUUCAUAUCUAUGUCUAUAUAUAUAUAUUUUCUCUGCUUUUUCCUUAGCUCUUUGUUUCUCUGUUUAUUUGCUUGCUUUACCCUAUUCGUGUAUUCAUGUUUGAUGUUUUUAUUUUGUUUUACUGUUGGCCUUUUUUUUUUUUAGAUGCCUGUUUUUUUUGAAAUGAGAGAGCAAGAAAAGAUGUAUAUUUCAGUGGGUAAGGAGUGUGGAGGACCUGGGUGAAGUUGAGGGAAGGGGACCCAUAAUCAGAAUACACUGAAUGAAGAAAAUCUAUUUACAAAAAAAAAUCCAAGGGAGAAAGAAAAGAGUUUUAAUGCUUUUUGUAAUAUUUACCACAUUAUACUGCAGUUACUCUGUACUUGGUUUCUUUCUUAUCAUAGUUACUAAGGAAAUAUUAACAGUACACAUCAUGCUGUGACCACAUUCAACCUCCCUAUGGCUUUUCUUACCACCUCCCUCACCAUUCUUUCCCCUUCCCCGGGAGUCCCCUACUUCUACUUUAUUUGUUUAGUUUUUUAAAUUCUAAAUUCCAGAAAGAAGAGAACAUGUGGUAAUUGCCUUUCUGCCUCUCACAUUUCUCUUUCUGCCUCUGAUAAUUUCUCUUAGCAUGACGUCUAGUUGACUUGUUUUUCUGGCAGAUGUUAUGAGCUCCUCCUCCUUCACGGUGGCAUAAUAUUCCAUUUUAUGUUGUGGGGGGAGGGAAAGGAACACGGAAAGGGGGGUUCUUUAUCAAGUCAUCUACUGACUGGCACUUUGGAGGAUUCUAUAAUUGAGCUAUUAAGGAUCGUGCAGGGAGUGACGUGGGCACACAGGAGUCUCUGUUGUAGACUGACUUCGUUUCUGUUAGGUACAUAACAAGGAGACGUAUAGUUGGACCACAUGGUAGUUCCAUUUUUUCGUUUUUAAUUUCUUACCAAUAGUGUAUUCAAGACCCACCCCUCAUGAGGCUCUCACUCUGUUUGUUUGUUUGUUUAUCUAGGAUCUCCCAUGGCCCAGGCUAUCACCCCAGUUCCCUGCCCAGCCGAGGAUAACCUUGAACUGCUGAUCUUGUUGCCUUUACCUCGAUCAUGCUGUGUAGCACAGGCUAGCCUGGGAUUUAUUAACCUUAUGCGUCAGUAUCCUGAGAGACUAUGGUUACAAGAGCAAGCCGCUACAUUCUGCUUCCUACUAAUGCUUUCUAUUGUUUUAGUAUAGCAUUUUAGCCUAUGUUGUUUUAAACUUCUAAAACUUUCAUUUUUCAGCCUUUAACGAUAGGAUUUUUUUCAAGAAAUUUCUAUAUAUUGGUGUUUUUCUCCUCACUGGCAGAACUUCACAGAAAAGGAAGACAACGUUGUAACAUGCUUCUUCAGACUCAAUAAAAAGAACUGAAAACAACAAGAUUUACAUGGGUGACAUAUUUAUGCCAGAGUGAAGAUUUUUCACAUUAUGUGUGUAAUUAUCUCCUCAAGAUUAGUUCUUGGCUUCUAAAACAAAGGACUUUCUGGAGGUAAACUUUAAAAUAAGCAGUGGCUUUGAGGAGGUAGAGACUUAGUGCACACAAACAAAACGAGACCUGCAGAGGGGGCAGGGAGAGAGACAGAGACACGACCAAACAUUUCAGAAGUUUUAUUAAGAAAACUUUGAAAGUCGGGUCAAACAAUUGAAGUUCACAGUGUACUAGAAGAAAGGGAAGGCGGUCACUUCUCGUUGCUCCCUGCUGUAAAAUUUGUUGUCUUGGAAUUUUUUUCAAAGAAUUACAGCUUCUUGCUUAGCACUAUGCAGAAUUUAGUACCUGAAUUUUAAAAGGGAGAUGAGAUGACAUAAUGUAUCAUAGUCAAAAUAAAUAAUUCUGAAGAUGGCCCAGAUAAAAUAGUUUGAUGAAAAUCCCUUUGGGGAUGUCCAAAGGAAAUUUUUUUACAUGCAUUCAUUUAGGCAAUUAGAAUUAUUUCUGAUGCUAUCAGCAGGGUGGGCAGGUUGUCUCUUGAAUGUGCUUAACUCAAAGAUGCUUUGGCAUGCUUUAGUGUUUUCCUCAUUAAAGGGUAAAGCAUUAUGAAAUAUUUUCAUUAAUAAUUUAAAAAACAACACACGUGUAGCUUACUUCAUCUCUACCUCACAGUGAUGAUCUCCAGGUGACAUUUGGCAUCUCUGUGUAUGUACGCAUUGGCCGGAGAAUGGAAGGAAGGUCCAGCCGACCUAGACACCCGUGUGCUCUCUGUUUCUUGCACUGUCACAUGUUGGCACCAUGCCUUGUAACUCUAAACCCAUGCAGCCACAUAAAUUUCUUUUAUUCAUUGUUAGUCAGUCUCAGAAAUUUUGUUACAACAAUGACAGGAACACACACACACACACACACACACACACACACACACACACACACACUCUUAGAAAAACUAAAUAACCAGAAAUUUAGACCUGAAAAAUGCCUCGGAAAAGAUCUCCUUAUCCCCAGAUUUAUUUGGAUAUACCUUUACCGUCAUUGUGAUACAACAAACUAAGCACACUGAUGCUUCUGGGGCUUCAGCUCUAAGAAGGGUGUGUACCAUGGGUAGACUCCGGCUGCCUGGGUGGCUUUAUCCUAAGCUGUUUGUUGACUUGGCUUUCCUCUCUUAGCUCAUACUCCAACUAAAGGACUUGCACUGAAGGAUUUUUUUUUCUUUAAGUAUGAAGUCCAGGAAAAGCAAAAAAAAAGUAAAACAUAGUUUUAGAGAUUUGUCUUUAAAAAGAUGUGUACUUUCUACUUAAUGUAUACUUGUCAGAAACAAAUCAAGAAGAAAUCCAAAAUGGCCUGUUGCCAUUCCCAUUUCACUGUAUAGUACAAAUCAUUGUUUUCUGUACGUUUAUUAUUGAUGUUAUUUACUGUAAACAUCUAUGUGACUUACAAAAAUGAUCACCUUUUAACUUUGAUAAAGCACAACAUAUAAAGGAGCAGAGGGAGAGAUAAUGAAGAGCAGGUCAGUAGAGAGAGGGGAGAAAGUGUUUCCAGCACUUUCCAAAUACUGAGCAUUGGUUUGGAAUGAGUCUGAAAAAAAUGUGUCAUGUGUGCUAAACCUAGAAGCCACAAAAGUACUGGAUAAUAAAACCUGCAGAAUUCAAACCCA